rnacentral:rRNA from 1 species
UGAGGAAUAUUGGGCAAUGCCCGCAAGGGUGACCCAGCAACGCCGCGUGGAGGAUGAAUGUCGUAAGAUUGUAAACUCCUGUUAGAGGGGAAGAAUAGUACCGGUUGGACCGGUAUAUGACUGUACCCUCAGAGAAAGCCCCGGCUAACUACGUGCCAGCAGCCGCGGUAAUACGUAGGGGGCAAGCGUUGUCCGGAUUUACUGGGUGUAAAGGGCGCGCAGGCGGUUUAUCAAGUCAGGGGUGAAAUCCCGGGGCUCAACCCCGGAACUGCCCUUGAAACUGGUUCACUAGAAUUCUGGAGAUGCGAGUGGAAUUCCGCGUGUAGAGGUGAAAUUCGUAGAUAUUCGGAAGAACACCAGUGGCGAAGGCGACUCGCUGGACAGGUAUUGACGCUGAGGUGCGAAAGCGUGGGGAGCAAACA